rnacentral:rRNA from 1 species
CAGCCGCCGCGGUAAUACGGAGGGCGCGAGCGUUACCCGGAUUUACUGGGCGUAAAGGGCGUGUAGGCGGCCUGGGGCGUCCCAUGUGAAAGGCCACGGCUCAACCGUGGAGGAGCGUGGGAUACGCUCAGGCUAGAGGGGGGGAGAGGGUGGUGGAAUUCCCGGAGUAGCGGUGAAAUGCGCAGAUACCGGGAGGAACGCCGAUGGCGAAGGCAGCCACCUGGUCCACUUCUGACGCUGAGGCGCGAGAGCGUGGGGAGCAAACCGGAUUAGAUACCCCCGUAGUCCCUGUCUCUUAUAC